GUCCUUAGCUCAGCUGGAUAGAGCACGUCCCUUCUAAGGAUGUGGUCAUUGGUUCUUAUAUUAGGUUA
rnacentral:tRNA from 1 species